rnacentral:rRNA from 1 species
AUUGAACGCUGGCGGCAGGCCUAACACAUGCAAGUCGAGCGAGCGGCGGACGGGUGAGUAAUGUCUGGGAAACUGCCUGAUUGAGGGGGAUAACUACUGGAAACGGUAGCUAAUACCGCAUACCAUCAGAUGUGCCCCGAGGGGAUUAGCUAGUAGGUGGGGUAAUGGCUCACCUAGGCGACGAUCCCUAGCUGGUCUGAGAGGAUGAUCAGCCAACAUGGAAAUGAGAAACGGGCCAGAAUCACACGGGAGGGAGCAGUGGGGAAUAUUGCACAAUGGGCGCAAGCCUGAUGCAGCCAUGCGGCGGGUGUGAAGAAGGCCUUCGGGUUGGAAAGCACUUUCAGCGGGGAGGCGUUACCCGAAGAAGAAGCACCGGCUAACGCAGUGCCAGCCGCCGCGGUAAUAC